rnacentral:rRNA from 1 species
AGUGAACGCUGGCGGCGUGCUUAACACAUGCAAGUCGAACGAGAACGGAAUAUAGCUUGCUAUAUUUGUCAGCUAAGUGGCGCACGGGGGAGUAAUGUAUAGAUAACCUGCCCUUAAGAAAGGAAUAACAGUUGGAAACGACUGCUAAUGCCCUAUAUGCCUUUAAUACAUAAGUAUGCAAGGGAAACGCUUUAGUGCUUAAGGAUGGGUCUGUAUGGUAUCAGCUUGUUGGUGAGGUAAUGGCUCACCAAGGCUAUGACGCCUAACUGGUUUGAGAGGAUGAUCAGUCACACUGGAACUGAGACACGGUCCAGACUCCUACGGGAGGCAGCAGUGGGGAAUAUUGCACAAUGGACGAAAGUCUGAUGCAGCAACGCCGCGUGGGGGAUGACACAUUUCGGUGCGUAAACUCCUUUUAUAUAGGAAGAUAAUGACGGUACUAUAUGAAUAAGCACCGGCUAACUCCGUGCCAGCAGCCGCGGUAA